AUGAACGCUGGCGGCGUGCUUUACACAUGCAAGUCGAGCGAGGCGCGGGGGCAACCCCGCAGUCGAGCGGCGAACGGGUGAGUAACGCGUGGGUAACCUGCCUCUAGGUGGGGGAUAACCCGGGGAAACUCGGGCUAAUACCGCAUGACAUCCAUGGAUCAAAGGGGGCCGCAAGGCUCCCGCCAGGAGAGGGGCCCGCGUACGAUUAGCUAGUUGGUAGGGUAAUGGCCUACCAAGGCGACGAUCGUUAGCCGGACUGAGAGGUUGAACGGCCACACUGGAACUGAGACACGGUCCAGACUCCUACGGGAGGCAGCAGUGGGGAAUUUUGCGCAAUGGGCGAAAGCCUGACGCAGCAACGCCGCGUGGAGGAUGAAGGUCUUCGGAUUGUAAACUCCUGUCAGCAGGGAACAAAUACGCCGGGCUCAUACCCCGGCGGGUUGAGUGUACCUGCAGAGGAAGCCCCGGCUAACUCUGU
rnacentral:rRNA from 1 species